rnacentral:rRNA from 1 species
AUUGAACGCUGGCGGCAGGCCUAACACAUGCAAGUCGAACGAGUGGCGGACGGGUGAGUAAUGUCUGGGAAACUGCCUGAUGGAGGGGGAUAACUACUGGAAACGGUAGCUAAUACCGCAUACCAUCGGAUGUGCCCAGAUGGGAUUAGCUAGUAGGUGGGGUAACGGGUCACCUAGGCGACGAUCCCUAGCUGGUCUGAGAGUAUGACCAGCCACACUGGGACUGAGACACGGCCCAGACUCCUACGGGAGGCAGCAGUGGGGAAUAUUGCACAAUGGGCGAAAGUCUGAUGGAGCCAUGCCGCGUGAAUGAAGAAGGUUUUCGGGUUGUAAAGUACUGUCAGCGGGGAGGCGUUACCCGAAGAAGAAGCACCGGCUAACUCCGUGCCAGCAGCCGCGGUAAUUC